rnacentral:rRNA from 1 species
GAUAAUGGCUCAGGAUGAACGCUAGCUACAGGCUUAACACAUGCAAGUCGAGGGGCAGCAUGAUUGAAGCUUGCUUCAAUUGAUGGCGACCGGCGCACGGGUGAGUAACACGUAUCCAACCUGCCGAUAACUCGGGGAUAGCCUUUCGAAAGAAAGAUUAAUACCCGAUAGUAUAGUAUUUCCGCAUGGUUUCACUAUUAAAGAAUUUCGGUUAUCGAUGGGGAUGCGUUCCAUCAGA